rnacentral:ncRNA from 1 species
CUACGGACUUAAUUGGAUUGAGCCUUGGUAUGGAAACCUACCAAGUGAGAACUUUCAAAUUCAGAGAAACCCUGGAAUUCACAAUGGGCAAUCCUGAGCCAAAUCCUGUUUUCCGAAAACCAAGAAGAGUUCAGAAAGGGAGAAUAAAAAAAGGAUAGGUGCAGAGACUCAACGGAAGCUGUUCUAACAAAUGGAGUUGACGACAUUUCGUUUCGUUAGUAAAGGAAUCCUUCCAUCGAAACUCCAGAAAAGAAAGGAUCGAGGAUGAACAUAUAUAUAUACGUAUACGUACUGAAAUACUAUUUCAAUUGAUUAGACCAGACAGACCGCGAAUCUCUAAUAUUUAUAUGACAAAUAAAAGAUGUGAAUCGAUUCCAAGUUGAAGAAAGAAUCGAAUAUUCAUUGAUAAAAUCAUUCACUCCAUCAUAGUUUGAUAGAUCUUUUGAAGAACUGAUUAAUCGGACGAGAAUAAAGAUAGAGUCCCAUUCUACAUGUCAAUACCGA